CCUACGGGAGGCUGCAGUGAGGAAUAUUGGUCAAUGGCCGGAAGGCUGAACCAGCCAUGCCGCGUGAAGGUCAGUGCCCUAUGGGCGUUAAACUUCUUUUGUGCGGGAGCAAUAAUGGUCACGUGUGGCCAGACGAGAGUACCGUACGAAUAAGCAUCGGCUAACUCCGUGCCAGCAGCCGCGGUAAUACGGGGGAUGCAAGCGUUAUCCGGAUUUAUUGGGUUUAAAGGGUGCGUAGGCUGUGGGGUAAGUCAGCGGGGAAAUGCCCCCGGUCAACGGGGGGAAGGGCCAUUGAUAAUGCCUUGCUGGAAUGCGGAUGCCGUGGGAGGAAUGUGUGGUGUAGCGGUGAAAUGCAUAGAUAUCACACAGAACACCGAUUGCGAAGGCAUCUCACGAAUCCGCGAUUGACGCUGAUGCACGAAAGCGUGGGUAUCAAACAGGAUUAGAUACCCCAGUAGUC
rnacentral:rRNA from 1 species